rnacentral:lncRNA from 1 species
GUCAGGAAUAUUUCUAAAGAGAUUAAUAUGAUUUCUAAGGGUUUUAAGACUCGUUUUCCUACCAAAAAAUUAUAAAAAAUUUAUCUAUAAAUAGAAGAUCCAGGAAUAAGCUUUGUAAGUAGAAAAAUUAAGUAGAAAGUGUAAAAAAAAAUAAAAAAAAUAAAUAACUUUAGCGACCCAAAGAAAAGAAGGAGAAAAGUCAGUUCGCUCUAUGGAGUACGACGGA